rnacentral:rRNA from 1 species
AUGAACGCUGGCGGCGUGCCUAAUCCAUGCCAGUCGAGCGAACAGACGAGGAGCUUGCUCCUCUGACGUUAGCGGCGGACGGGUGAGUAACACGUGGAUAACCUACCUAUAAGACUGGGAUAACUUCGGGAAACCGGAGCUAAUACCGGAUAAUAUAUUGAACCGCAUGGUUCAAUAGUGAAAGACGGUUUUGCUGUCACUUAUAGAUGGAUCCGCGCCGCAUUAGCUAGUUGGUAAGGUAACGGCUUACCAAGGCAACGAUGCGUAGCCGACCUGAGAGGGUGAUCGGCCACACUGGAACUGAGACACGGUCCAGACUCCUACGGGAGGCAGCAGUAGGGAAUCUUCCGCAAAGGGCGAAAGCCUGACGGAGCAACGCCGCGUGAGUGAUGAAGGUCUUCGGAUCGUAAAACUCUGUUAUUAGGGAAGAACAAAUGUGUAAGUAACUAUGCACGUCUUGACGGUACCUAAUCAGAAAGCCACGGCUAACUACGUG